UCAGUCGACUCCUACGGGGAGGCAGCAGUGGGGGAAUAUUGCACAAUGGGCGCAAGCCUGAUGCAGCCAUGCCGCGUGUAUGAAGAAGGCCUUCGGGUUGUAAAGUACUUUCAGCAGUGAGGAAGGUGGGGUAUGGUUAAUAGCAUACUCAUUUGACGUUAGCUGCAGAAGAAGCACCGGCUAACUCCGUGCCAGCAGCCGCGGUAAUACGGAGGGUGCGAGCGUUAAUCGGAAUUACUGGGCGUAAAGCGCAUGCAGGUGGUUUGUUAAGUCAGAUGUGAAAGCCCGGGGCUCAACCUCGGAAUUGCAUUUGAAACUGGCAAACUAGAGUACUGUAGAGGGGGGUAGGAAUUUCAGGUGUAGCGGUGAAAUGCGUAGAGAUCUGAAGGAAUACCGGUGGCGAAGGCGGCCCCCUGGACAGAUACUGACACUCAGAUGCGAAAGCGUGGGGAGCAAACAGGAUUAGAUACCCUGGUAG
rnacentral:rRNA from 1 species